UGUAAUUUUCAUAAUAAUGCUUUUUUUUUUUAUCCCAAAUGAUAUUUUAUUAAGUUUGAUUCUUAUCAAUUUAGCUCGCCAUUUUUAGCGUUGUUAAAAAUAACAAACCAUAAGAGUGUUGUUUUUGUAAAUUAAUUUUGUUUCAAGUAUGAAAGAAUAAGUUGGAAUUGAGAAGUUAAUUUUUUAGGAAACAUAAAUCAUCGGAGCUUAUUUUGUCAAAUAUCUCCAAAGGCUACUCUUGUAUUUGUAAUAAGGAAAGUUUCCCCCUUCCAAACAAAAAAAAGAAGAAAACUAAAGGUGAAAUAUUGAAUUGAUUGAUGGAUCAAAAUUUUUGAAGUAUAAAAAGCGAUGGCCGAAAUACAUGUGUUUUUAAGCCACAUACAUAAUGGUCCGUUUGUGUUAAAAAGCAUGAAUGAAUGUUGUUUUUAUUGCCUUUAUUCUUUGAUUGGCAUUCCCGUCAAGCUAUGCAUCAUCCCUUCUAUACCUAUCUUUGCAGCUCAUAAACAAAACCAUAACCAAAAAUGGCUCUGAGUAGCGUUUAUGUUACCGCGCCGGCAGCAGCUGCAGCAAUGGGCCUCUAUUUCUUCGGAAAAAAUCUCUCCAACACCAAUGCUGCUGGAUUGGUGGGCAAGGACAAGAUCAAGAUCAAGAAUGCGCCUAAAUUGGCUCCGCAGUUUGAUGGUUUGCACUGUUUCGAGACUAUUGUGCGCCGUUAAUUGAUUCAUCUCUCUUUUCUUAUGAUUUCAUCAUUGGAGUUUAGAGAUGAUGUUUCAUUUCAAUAGGAAACCAAAUAUCUCUGUCUUUUAAGCAGACAUUGAGAUUCUUGUAGAUGAUGUUGAUUCACUUCAACUUAGUCCAUACCAUAUGUGGGCUUUUUAGCGUUAUGGAAUAUAAAUAAAUGUUAAUACUAUUUUAGUGCUUCAA